GGAUGUGAGGGCGAUCUGGCUGCGACAUCUGUCACCCCAUUGAUCGCCAGGGUUGAUUCGGCUGAUCUGGCUGGCUAGGCGGGUGUCCCCUUCCUCCCUCACCGCUCCAUGUGCGUCCCUCCCGAAGCUGCGCGCUCGGUGGAAGAGGACGACCUUCCCAGAUAGAAGGAGUGUACCGAUCUUCGGUCAAGGGUAUACGAUAGCUGCGCUCCCCUGCUAGAACCUCCAAACAAGCUCAAGGUCGACCAUUCCUACCAUAGAAAUAAUGAUACUAAUAAAAACCAUCUGUUCUUUACAAAUAAAAAACUUUAUAUAGUUCAAAAAUAUAAGUUUAUUU
rnacentral:snRNA from 1 species